AAAACUACAAAUUAAAUUUAAAAACAACAUUAACUUAAAUUAAAAAACUACAACUUAAAUUUAAUAUCCAUAAUCAACAUCAUCUUCAUCAUCCACCAUUGUAGGAGUAUAGUCAGAGGUAAACAACUGUCGUCGGGUCAUAAUUUCUUUUUUUUUUUCUAUCAAAAUAGGUCUUACUCAUUGAAGUGUAAUUCGAAGUGUUCAUUUCCAUAUUCUUAUCAUCUAUCUCUUAUUGUAUUUGUUUGGUAUGUUCUUCAUGCCUACGGCUCCUUUCUUCCGCCUCAAGGGCAGUUUGCUCCGCCACUUAUUGUUGAGUGGCGUAAUCAUCAUUUGCUUUGCCUUUUUUCUUCAACCUUCAUGCCUUGUUUCGUCUCAUAGCCCUAGGUAUGGAACCUUCACUUGAAGACGGAUUUUCUACCCUUGUUUGUUGAAUGGCAGGAGAUCCAUCUUCAUCCAUAUUUGCAGCUGAGGAUGCAGUUCCGAACACUGGCAUAUGACCUACUCUAUGUUGAGAUGGAUCUUCAAACAACACCUACCCUUUACAAAUUUCCCAACAACUGUGAAACUGAAAAGGUUUCAAGCUGCCUUCCAUAUACAAUUUCUCCGCUUGGUGUACCUAGAAAAUAUAAUUACAAAAAUUAAAGGAAAUUAAUUUAUGAAAUUAAAUGUAAUAUAAUUAAAUGUAUUUACAAAAAUUAAGGGAAAGUAAUUCAUGAAAUUAAAUAUAAUAUAAUUAAAUAUUUAAAAUAAAUUGUGAAAACACUUACUUCGUUGUAGUAGUUAAAGCCGCUUACAUGUCUACUUACGACUGCAAACAGUGAUUGAUGCUAUUUGUUCAAACUUGGGUGAAGAUGUUUCUUCCAUCUUGAAAAACAACUCUUCUGGUUUUGGACAUUCAAUGGAGUGGUGCUUUCGUAGUACUCUAAGUAUUUUUUGGAGACACGAGUCCAAACACCUUCACUUGUUUGAGAACUCCGCCUCACACUAUCUUCUGACACCCAUAUAUGAGCCCUGCAUAGAGCUUCAUCUUCCUUUCGGGUCCAAGCCCUAACUUUUAUUACAGGCGAGACCAUUUGAAAAUUAUUGAAAUAAUUGAAGGAAAUAUUUUUGAAAGAGGUAAGAAAAUAUGAGAAUUGAAAUGGUGUGGGAAUGGUGAAAAAUUUGUGAGGAAUGGUGAAUGAAUGGUUUAGGUAUUUAGAGGGAAAAAAAUUAGAAUUUUCAAGAAUUAAAAAAAAAAAAUUGGCCCAAAUUUUUUUUUUUUGAAUCCAACGGUAAUUAGCAUCAACUAGCUGUUGGAUUCAAAAAUUUGUUUAAGAAUUCCUGUCGGAUAACCGACAUGAUUAAAUGAUGUCGGUUAUAUUUAACAGCAAUUCUUAAAUUUCUAGCCAGCCCUUUGGCCCUUUCAAAUUUCAUGGGGCCCACAAGCCCUCUGGCCUAUCCCUCAGUUGGAGACGGUUUCGGGCUAUUUUAUACUAUCUGGCCCUUGAGACCUUUCGGUUGGAGAUGGCCUUAGGGUAGAAAGCAACCGUAUAGCCUUGCAUUUGAAUGAUGUGGAGAAAACAAAUGACUAUAGAUACCAGUUGAUUAAAAAAUAGCUCUGUUAACUAAAUCAUAACAUAUCUUCAGGACACUGAUAAAUUGUCAAACAUUCUUUGUACUGAUUUUUUUUUUACAAAAACAAACCAUGAAAGAGGCAUAUGAUAUGAGACGGUAGCAGAGGGAGUGAACAAGAGAUGAAAGUGGGCAUGGAGGGUUCAAUAUUCAUAUACUGGGAUUGAUGCUUGCCCCCCAAAUUGUACGAAUUACAGGAAGACCGAUCCUUCACCCUUGUCAUUUUUCUAUUAAUCUCUCACUUGGAUAGGGUGUGAAGAUGAUAAUCGAGAUUGAGAAGAAGUUGACGCCAAAUUUACUUUGCUCACGAUCAUCAGACAUGUGUUACAAUAUUAGCAAAGAGACAGCAUGAGACACAAACAAAGGAACAGCAAAUCCUUGGUCGACCCGGAGCGAGGAGGAUGGGCACAUGACGUGCACGUGAAGAAUGAUGAAGCGACACUGAAAUUGUCCAGGUCGUUGAUGGUGAAAUUGUCGAAAUCGUCUUCGAGCUUCUGAGACUCUUUCCAUUGCAAACAAUUUUUUUAAGGAUUUUUUAUUUUAGUUCCUAUAUUUAGAGAUUAUACUAUAAGAACCUCCUAUCAUGGAUAAUAUAUUGUUUAAAAAUCUGAUUUGUUAUAAAUAGACAAAAGUUAGAAAGAUAACAUUUACUAGUGACAUGAGCAAAACAAGUGUAAAAUAUCACACUGUAACUAUAACACAAGGAGAUGACAAAUAAAAGAGGGAGGGAUAGAUACUAAUGUUAUUGAUC